AUGCCCUUAACCGUGAAGGGCUCUCUCCGCUUCAAAAAUGCACAGUGGCGAUACGUCAAUUGGCUUAUGGGUUAUGGCACACCUGCAGACAGUCUUGAUGAAUAUCUCAAGAUUAGCAAGACUACCGCAAUUGAUUGCUUGAAGAACUUCGUGCAACGAGUGAUUGAUACCUAUGACGUGGAAUAUUUACGAAGCCCCAACACUGAAGAUACAAAGUGCUUGCUUCGCAUUGGCGAAGGUUGUGGGUUUCCAGGCAUGUUAGGAAGCCUGGACUAUAUGCAUCGGCGUUGGAAAAAAUGUCCUAUUGCAUGGAAGGGCCAAUUUACUCGUGGUGAUAAAGGGUGGCCUAGUCUUAUUCUGGAGGCAGUUGCUUCGCAAGAUAGCUUGCAUCAUUCUUCAUAA
rnacentral:rRNA from 1 species